CGAACGGGUGAGUAACACGUGAGUAACCUGCCCUCUUCUCUUGGAUAACUGCUUGAAAGGGCGGCUAAUACGGGGUGUGCCGGCUGGUCCGCAUGGGCCUGGUCGGGAUAGUUUCAUCUUCGGGUGUUUCGGUGGGGGAUGGGCUCGCGGCCUAUCAGCUUGUUGGUGGGGUGAUGGCCCACCAAGGCGGUGACGGGUAGCCGGCCUGAGAGGGUGGGCGGCCACACUGGGACUGAGACACGGCCCAG
rnacentral:rRNA from 1 species